rnacentral:rRNA from 1 species
AGUGAACGCUGGCGGUAGGCCUAACACAUGCAAGUCGAACGGCAGCACAGUAAGAGCUUGCUCUUACGGGUGGCGAGUGGCGGACGGGUGAGGAAUACAUCGGCAUCUACUUUUUCGUGGGGGAUAGCGUAGGGAAACUUACGCUAAUACCGCAUACGACCUACGGGUGAAAUCAGGGGAUCUUCGGACCUUGCGCGAUUGAAUGAGCCGGUGUCGGAUUAGCUAGUUGGCGUGGUAAAGGCCCACCAAGGCGACGAUCCGUAGCUGGUCUGAGAGGAUGAUCAGCCACACUGGAACUGAGACACGGUCCAGACUCCUACGGGAGGCAGCAGUAGGGAAUAUUGGACAAUGGGCGAAAGCCUGAUCCAGCCAUACCGCGUGGGUGAAGAAGGCCUUCGGGUUGUAAAGCCCUUUUGUUGGGAAAGAAAAGCAGCAGGUUAAUACCCCGCUGUUCUGACGGUACCCAAAGAAUAAGCACCGGCUAACUUCGUG